rnacentral:rRNA from 1 species
UCGGGAAUUUUGGGCAAUGGGCGAAAGCCUGACCCAGCAACGCCGCGUGAAGGAUGAAGUAUUUCGGUAUGUAAACUUCGAAAGAAUAGGAAGAAUAAAUGACGGUACUAUUUAUAAGGUCCGGCUAACUACGUGCCAGCAGCCGCGGUAAUACGUAGGGACCAAGCGUUGUUCGGAUUUACUGGGCGUAAAGGGCGCGUAGGCGACAAUUCAAGUCAUCUGUGAAAUCUCCGGGCUUAACUCGGAACGGUCAGAUGAUACUGCUUUGCUAGAGUGCAGAAGGGGCAAUCGGAAUUCUUGGUGUAGCGGUGAAAUGCGUAGAUAUCAAGAGGGACACCUGAGGUGAAGACGGGUUGCUGGGCUGACACUGACGCUGAGGCGCGAAAGCCAGGGGAGCAAACGGGAUUAGAUACCCGUGUAGUCCCUGAGCGGGCUGGCAAGGCGCAU